UACGGAGGGUGCAAGCGUUAUCCGGAUUCACUGGGUUUAAAGGGUGCGUAGGUGGGCAGGUAAGUCAGUGGUGAAAUCUCCGGGCUUAACUCAGAAACUGCCAUUGAUACUAUCUUUCUUGAAUACCGUGGAGGUCAGCGGAAUAUGUCAUGUAGCGGUGAAAUGCUUAGAUAUGACAUAGAACACCAAUUGCGAAAGCAGCUGGCUACACGAAUAUUGACACUGAUGCACGAAAGCGUGGGGAUCAAACAGG
rnacentral:rRNA from 1 species